rnacentral:misc_RNA from 1 species
GUUUGAUCCUUCCUCUGGCAAAGAGAUGACUCAGAUGGAGAUUCACAACUUUUUGAAGUCCGAAAAGGCCUUGUGAUGGAAACAUUGGAUCGGCUUUCUUGUCCAUGCAAGGAGGUAUUUGCUUCCCUUAGUUGCACAUGCUUUCAUAGUCGUGGUAUACGUUAUUGUAACUAUCAUAUAUAUAGUGAUUUAACAGGGUAAUCGGUAGCUAUAGCCAACAAUUUUGAACAAGUUAUGAUGUACAGAACAUCGACGUAUUAGUAUUCUAACAAAAA